CCCCCCCGCCUGCUGCUCCUCUGCCUGCGCCGGCGGCCAUGCUCCGGCGACCCCACCCGCAGAGCCCCGGCCCCCAGCGGCGGCGGAUCGGCGGGUUGCAGCCGCGCCGGGCUCCACCACGCUUUGCGCGCGGCGUCAUGGUGGAUCUGCAGCACCUUGGCCACUACCUCCCAUUCUCCUCGCGACGGUCGCCAUGGAGCGCGGCGGAGCCAGAACUUCCCAGCCGGUCCGUGGUGGACCUCAUCCAUCCUGUGGCUGCAGGUCGUCUAGCUACGAUUAACUACGGGUCUGAUGCUGGUGCACGCUCUGUGCUUGCGUAAAUGCCCCAACGAAUUUGAAGACCCGCGCAGGCUAAGCAUCACACCCUCUGUUCGUUUUUCUGUGGUUUGUGCAGAUCAGUAGAGGGAUCAAGAAAAUGGUCCAAAUCGAAACUACAGAUGAGAAUAUGAGAUUGAGAUGCUGUGUCAUGCAGGUCUGAGCUUCCCACUCAUGACUGCAGUUCUGAUAAAAAUCUUUAGCCUUCUGUUAUUGUGAAGAAUCUGAUUAGCUAGCAACAUGUGCUUAUUGGAUUCCACAGUGGAGAAAAAAACAUUUCUUUUACAGGUUCUUGAUCUUGCAUGUCAUCGCAGCUGCUAGCAAAGGUGUCAAGCUCUGUUUUUCUCUGUUUCUCUUGUGCAGCCUUAAAUUCGUUUGAUUUUUCAGAUUUAUACGAUGAAUAAGCUGAUACAACCAAGACGAGCUACAUGUUAUCUACCAUUAGAAGCGCAAAUUAGCUACUAAUAUGUUUGCUUGGAGUACAUAUUCCUACAGAUUUCUCAGUAUUAAGAAAGCUCUGCAAAGUUCUUUUAUUAUUUACUGCACCAUCCCUCCAGUGGCCAUAGUCAACAUUACCUCCACUGCCAACAAGGUGUUCGACAAAAUGCCAAGCUCCCAAGCGUAUAGCAUCUUUUAUUUAUGAAUGUACCUGUUUUCCUUCUAUUCCUGUCCUGCAAAUGGUGUCAACAAAAUUUCAUUUUCCAAUCCUGGUGUCAUACAUUGAUUUCUCCGGGCUUGUUGAUGGUUAUAUAUGAUAGAUAAAGAACAGAAAUGUAAACUAAUUUUGAGAUUUACUUGGGUAACCACUACGCCAAGAUGUGAGCAUGAUCUGGUUCCUCUGGCUAUUCGUGUUAUGGUACCACAUUUAAUCUAACCACACUGGCUACUCAUCCAUUGCAACCUGCAAUGUGUAAGCAGCUAGCAGUGUGAACAAACACGCUGGUAAUUUUUUUAUGCUUCUUGCCAUGUAGCAGAGCUUACAAAACCAAAUUUACGCUCUAAUUAAUAGGAGUUACUUCCACUGCCUGCAUUAAAAAAUUAGGAUACUCAUCUUACUGAAUCUGACAAUAUUUUCUCCUCUAAACAUUGACCACUCAGAUUCACUUUGCAAUCUGUGUUUCGUAUUCUGCAGUGAGGAUAAUGUUGGAGCUUACUAUUAGUAGAUGGCAACUUAUGACAACUUGAUUGUUUAAGUGUUUACUCUUGUGGAUGAUGGAAAACCAAUACGAAAAAGGUGGAAGAGGAGCAAGAAGGCCUCUUUGUAUAAAAAACGAAGCAAAAAAAAA